GGCAACGACCACUCAGAGCCGGAAACUUGUUCAAACUUGGUCAUUUAGAGGAAGUAAAAGUCGUAACAAGGUCUUCGUAGGUGAACCUGCGGAGGGAUCAUUACCGAGUUAGGGUCCUCACAGGCCCGACCUCCCAACCCAUUGUUUAUGAUACUCAGUGUUGCUUCGGCAGGCCUGGUCUUUGACCUGCCGGAGGGCCGUAACACGCCCCCCGGAGAGCGCCUGCCGACGGCCCCAACUUCAAAAUUCUUAACUAAACAUGUCUUUGUCUAAGUAAAGUCUUUAAUAAAAGCAAAACUUUCAACAACGGAUCUCUUGGUUCUGGCAUCGAUGAAGAACGCAGCGAAAUGCGAUAAGUAAUGCGAAUUGCAGAAUUCUCGUGAGUCAUCGAAUCUUUGAACGCACAUUGCGCCCUUUGGUAUUCCGAAGGGCAUGCCUGUUCGAGCGUCAUUUUCACCCCUCAAGCCCCCGGCUUGGUGUUGGACGGUUUGGUCCCGGGACCCCCCUGGACCCCUCCCAAAGACAAUGACGGCGGGCUGUCGCACCCCCGGUACACUGAGCAUCUUCACGGAGCACGUACCGGUCUCCAGGGUCGACGGCACCCGGUCUCACACCUAUAUCUUUCAAGGUUGACCUCGGAUCAGGUAGGAAUACCCGCUGAACUUAAGCAUAUCAAUAAGCGGAGGA
rnacentral:sRNA from 1 species